rnacentral:tRNA from 1 species
AGGAGUUUAGGCUAAUACUAGACCAUAGGCCUUCAAAGCCCAAAGUGGGAGUGAAAAUCUCCCAACCCCUG